GAGAAAAUAUCCAGUGAGCAGCGGUUUUCAAGGACAGACAGCUGAGACGAGAACCACUGCGGGCUCACAUACGUGGAUCAUCUCCACGGCAACCUUUGCCCUUGAGCGAGACGGUGACCAGACUUUUAAAGACUGUGACUGUGCUGCAGCAACACUAAGAAUCCUGCAGCAAUGCGUUUGCAGUGUUCAGCACAGCGGCUGGACGUAUAGUGCGAGGCCAGAGACGAGCACAAACCUGACAAUGACCCAGGUCUGACCAAAUCCAGCUGAUGUGGCGCUUUCCAUUCAACCAGAGGAUUAGAAGCCAGUUAGUUGUUCGUUGUCUCCUCAGAGGCCCAGUCUGCUCGUCCUGUGGGUUCACUUUCACACGCGGACAUUCACGCAAAACAAAAGUGGCUCCAAAAAAAGUUCAGCCCCAAAAGAAACUUGCUGCACAUCACUGUUUUGAUUGUAUUUCCAACAAUAACAGAAUUAGUAAUGCAACUUGUGUCUUUUGAUAGCAAAUAAUAGAUAAAG